rnacentral:sRNA from 1 species
AAGAUGUUUCUUACGAUUCAUACCUCCGGGGGCAGGAGGUUCGACCCGAGCGAAGCGAGAAGCGAGAGAACGUUGCGUCAGCAACGGCCCGCAGGGCGAGCCACGCAUGCCUUAAUAUCUCAAAACUG